CACGCUCCGAAGCCUCGAUACAGAACGUCACAUCACUAGUUUGAAGUCAGACUUCCUCCGUUACUUCGAGUCUGUUUCAUAACGGAACAUCGCUGCGUUAGAAGGUGAUACUAGUUAUUUCCUCUUUAAAACGGAUCCACACAGUAAACUCUCUGUAUAUGUUCAGGAUAUGUGACCCUAACGUUACACGGUAAUCACCUAAAUACACACAGCUGGACUGGCCAUCGGGCAUUUGCCCGGUGGGCCAUGGUGAUUUUUCGUUUUUAUGGGCCGAUGGGUUCUUUUUUUCGUAACAGUAUAAACACUGAAAGGUGGUGGAUUGGCCAGAUGCUGGGAGAUGUGUAAAAAUAACUCAGUUGUUUGGUGGUGGCUAUUGCGGAGCUUCCACCGAUUUAGUAACAUUAGCAAGUGGUGGAGGCCAGCAGAUGCAACACGCUGGCAGGUGGAUGACGGCAGGAGGAGCAGAGACCCCAGGCGGUGAACUGAACUUCAGGGCCCUGGUGAGAACAUUAAAGAGGCUCACUGCUG
ensembl:lncRNA